rnacentral:rRNA from 1 species
UACAGGGGGGGGCAAGCGUUUGUUCGGAAUUACUGGGCGUAAAGGGCCAGUAGGCGGCCGACUAAGUCCGACGUGAAAUCCCCAGGCUUAACCUGGGAACUGCGUCGGAUACUGGUUGGCUUGAAUUCGGGAGAGGGAUGCAGAAUUCCAGGUGUAGCGGUGAAAUGCGUAGAUAUCUGGAGGAAUACCGGUGGCGAAGGCGGCAUCCUGGACCGACACUGACGCUGAGGAGCGAAAGCCAGGGGAGCAAACGGG